GAAGCACGCCAGACCGCCGCUGGUGCAAGCCCGAAAGGGACGACGCUGCGCCUUCGGGCAACAGCAUCGGGUCGAAAGAUCGCACUGGAGGAACGUCCGGACUGCACAGGACAGCGCAGGAGUUAACGACUCUCCACCGUGAGGUGAGGAUCAGAGCAACAGAGACGAGCCGAUUCAGUUCGGGUGAAACGGGCAAUCUCUGCGCGCAGCAACACCAAGUAGGCCAGUAUCGAGGUGGUUCCGCUGAGCUGGCGGGUAGGUGGCAUCGAGCCGUCUGGCGACAGACGGCCCAGAGUAAUGGCGGUCACGCCGGGGUCUUCGCAAGAGGGCGCCGGUGCACAGAAUCCGGCUUAUCGGCGAGCUUCACAC
rfam:Variovorax sp. Root473 contig_3, whole genome shotgun sequence.